rnacentral:lncRNA from 1 species
AAGAUCACAAUAAUUAUUGCUUAAUUCAUUUUAAGUUUUGACCGAACCAACAAGGCAACAACAAAGUACGACGACAACAUACUAAUCUCUCCAUGAAAUGACAUGUUCCAAAUAUUUUUUCCUUCUUUGUUUGAAACCCCGUUGGCUCAAAUGCUUGCUCGGACGUUUAUGAAACCUUUCUCCUUCAAGGACUCGACGGUCUCCUUGAUGCUAACUUCCAAGGGUAUGUAGUCUAUGCCAAUGCUCUUUAUUUUCUCCUUGGACACUUGAUACGUCGGAACAAACGGAUUCUCAUCCGCACAACUGCAUAUGAAACAACAGCUUUAGAAACAGAAUUUGAACCAGAUCAGUGGUUAUAUUUAAAGAUGUUUUACCUUUCAGGGAGCUGGAGAUUUGGGUAAAGCUGACGCAGAAUGUUCACAAUCUCAGAGUGGUGAAGGACUCUCUCGACCAUACAAUAACGUCCAUUAGCUGAAGGGACCUCAUAUGCUUGAAUGUGCGCAUUGGCUACGUCCUUUACGUUAACCCAU